GAAUUCGGUAAUGCGAGUUUUUGUCUCAUUUAAGAAGAAUCAAUCUGUAAAUGGAAUCUUCACCCGAAAUAAUGCCAAUUCAUCCACAGCUGAACUCUGAAUUUUGCUUCAAUUUCCUUCCAAAUACUCCCAAAUCAGUAUUUGAUGCAAUUAAACCUCUCAUUAAACCCAACCGCCGCUCACCUAACUCAAUCACACACCAAAAUAGCUCAAACUUUUUUCAGCCAAACUAUGUUUUUUAAAUAGCAGAUUUCAAUGACUUGGAAUAAGGUCAUACAAGAAUCACUUCCUUUGACAAUCUCAGGAUUUAGAUGGUUUCUUGUCUCAUUAGCAGAGGUUCCUGAUUCUUGAUUCUUAUCCAUCAAGAAUUGCUCUUUUUUGUUGUUGUUUUUGUAAAAAUAGUAAUCAAUAUUUUCAAAAUGAGCAUCGUCAGUUCUGGGGUUUCUUUUCAUCAGUCAAUUGUAAGUAACUGCAAGCCUGAGGCAUUGAGCAACCGAAAACCCAGAAACCAAAGACACAGAAAUUUGUGUUUGAACCAUUUGAAAUCCUUGAAUUUAAGUAAUGAUGGCUUGGAAUUUGGGGUCAGCAGGGGCAAGGAUGAGAAAAGAGGCAGUCUUUUUAGGUUGAAAUCAGCUGUUGAUGUUGGCGAAGUGGUAGAGAGUUAUGGUACAGGUGAGAGGGAUGGCUGCUUCUAUGAUGCCAUUGUUAUAGGUUCCGGGAUUGGGGGGCUGGUGGCGGCGACGCAGCUGGCAGUGAAAGGCGCCAAGGUUUUGGUCCUGGAGAAGUAUGUGAUUCCUGGAGGAAGCUCUGGGUUUUAUGAGAGGGAUGGCUUCAAAUUCGAUGUUGGAUCAUCGGUCAUGUUUGGUUUCAGCGAUAAGGGAAAUUUGAAUUUGAUCACACAAGCAUUAGCAGCCGUGGGAUGUAGGCUGCAAGUAAUACCUGAUCCCACCACUGUUCAUUUUCAUUUACCUAAUGGACUCUCUGUCCAAGUAGAUAGAGAAUAUAGCAAGUUCACUUCAGAACUUAUCAGUAAAUUCCCCCAUGAGAAAGAAGGCAUUCUCAAAUUCUAUGGUGUCUGCUGGAAGAUCUUCAAUGCACUGAACUCACUGGAGUUGAAGUCACUGGAGGAGCCAAUCUACCUUUUUGGGCAAUUUUUUAAGAAGCCUCUUGAAUGCUUGACUCUAGCCUACUAUCUGCCCCAAAAUGCUGGUGACAUUGCUCGGAAGUAUAUCAAGGAUCCUGAGUUGUUGUCCUUUAUUGAUGCGGAGUGUUUCAUCGUGAGUACGGUUAAUGCUAUGAGGACGCCUAUGAUCAAUGCAAGCAUGGUUUUAUGCGAUAGACAUUUUGGUGGAAUCAACUAUCCUGUCGGAGGAGUUGGAGAAAUUGCGAAGUCAUUAGCAGAGGGGUUGACUAAUCAGGGGAGUGAGAUACUUUAUAAGGCAAAUGCAACCAGCAUUAUCAUAGAAGACGGAAAAGCCGUGGGGGUGAAGCUAUCAGAUGGAAAGAAAUUCUAUGCUAAAACCAUAAUUUCAAAUGCCACUAGAUGGGAUACCUUCGGCAAGCUCUUGAAAAAAGAAAAUCUACCUAAGGAAGAAAAAAGGUUUCAGGAGGCAUAUGUUAAAGCUCCGUCUUUUCUUUCUAUUCACAUGGGGGUUAAAGCUGAUGUUUUACCACCUGACACUGAUUGUCACCAUUUCAUCCUAGAGGAUGAUUGGAAAAAACUGGAAGACACUUAUGGAAGUAUAUUUCUGAGCAUUCCAACUGUCCUUGAUAAAUCAUUGGCUCCAGAAGGAAACCACAUUCUUCACAUUUUCACUACUUCUUCUGUUGAGGACUGGGAGGGUCUGUCACGCAAAGAUUAUGAGGAAAAGAAAGAGCGUGUGGCCAGAGAGAUAAUUAAUAGGCUUGAGAAGAAAUUAUUUCCUGGACUUAAGUCAUCUAUAGUUUUUCAGGAGGUGGGGACACCAAAAACACACAGGCGAUAUUUGGCCCGUGAUAGUGGCACUUAUGGUCCAAUGCCUCGCACAACUCCAAAGGGCUUAUUGGGGAUGCCCUUCAACACAACGGCUAUUAAUGGUUUGUAUUGUGUGGGAGAUAGUUGCUUUCCUGGGCAAGGUGUCAUAGCUGUAGCUUUUUCAGGAGUUAUGUGUGCACAUCGAGUGGCCGCUGAUUUAGGAUUUGAGAAGAAAAACCCUGUUCUUGAUACCGCUCUCCUUCAGCUACUUGGUUGGUUCAGGACUUUAGCAUGAGAAGUUUCAUAUGAGAAGUCAGCAAAAAUGUCGAGACUUAAUAGGGAUGGCGUCAUACCAAAUCAACAGUCUCGAAGAGCAAUAAGAUGCCAUCAAACACUGUUAGCUACUUUUUCCUUAUGUUGAUAGAGAGGUGAAGAAACCAGCUUGAGUUCUUUGGGAUUAUUGCUGCCAGAUUGCCACCAUAGUAAUCCCAAAAUAGUUGCGGUUGCAAGAACCUGAAAUACCCUCAACCAGCUAAAAUAGUCGUGCCUUCGUUCUUUAAGUCCUCUGCAGAAUAGAAUGGAGUACUGUUCAAACCAGCUUGCUCCCCAUUCUCUCUUUGCAGAACAUACUUUGGCCUUAAUCUCGUCAUCUACGGGUGUUGGGUUUUUGAGUUUCUUCUUCUCAUUUUCAGCUACCCGUGUUUCAUAAGCCUCCACAAGAUACUGCUUAACAAUGGUAACAUUAACAUAUGAGGAAAGCAAUAAUUUUGUUCUUUAUGAAAUGUUGCGUAUCAUAUAAUUUAUGUUUAUAGUUUUGAGAUAUUGAGAUACUGGUUGAACUGUGAUUUCUCUAGUUCUUUUGGUGAUUGAAUGAAUUAUCUUUUACCUCGUGCACAACUGCUGGAGCUGGUUUUCCACUCUUUGUUUCUGUUGUGGAGUUCCCCAUUUGCACUUUGUCCUCCAAUUCCGAGGGGACAGAAAUGUCUGUUACGUUUCCAUUUGCGAGGUCGAGCAUGAACUCUGCAGGGUUCAUUGCAAUAAGAGGGGAACAGCCUAUGGAUGAGAAGUAAACCAUUGCUUCUGACACCUUUCCAAAGUAAAGCAGACUCCCUUUGCCGAGAAGAAUCAGCUUGUCGAACUUAAGGAAGAGUCUGCUUGAUGGCUGGUGAAUUGUGGUAACCACUGUUUUGCCAGCCUGCCAUGAUGACAAAUUGGACACGCGAAUUAUGGCUGUCUAUUUGUACCUCGGCUAUAUCGUGCAAUGUGUCCACAAUCCUCAAAGCAGUAGUGGAAUCCAGGCCUGAGGUGGGUUCAUCUAGGAACAAGAGGGACGGGUUGAUAAUUAUCUCGUUUCCGAUGCACACACGCUUCCUUUCUCCACCCGAGACUCCCCGGACGAAGGAGCCGCCAAUCAUUGUGUCUUGGCAGCUGGUGACAUACAUUGCUGAAAGGUUGUAGGGAAGUCUUGUACAAAAAUGCCAUGGAAAAUGAGAUUCUGUACAAGACUGAACCUGAUGACAUAAUAGCAUAAUGAUUUGAGUUGCAUUGAUCUCAAGCUAGAUAAACACCUCCAUCUCUUUAAUCUCCCUGUCCAAAUAGAUGGUGUCACACAUCAAUCUGUGGAUCCUUCUAGAAAGUACCCGGCUGGGACCGACCGUGUUUCGACACGUGUACUCUAUCUCGAAAGACAAAUGAAAGAGAUUUAUUGAGUAUUUGUGUGUAUGUUACCUUGAGGUAGAUUGGUAUUGUGGGUUCUGUUUGGAGUCUCUUCUUUUGCCUGCCUGCCUCAAGAUCUUCAGCUGCAACCAUUUUAUCAGACAACUAAUUAUUUGUCGUGACACAGAAUGCAUGCAAUUCAAGAUUUAAUGAGCUACGAGCAAGUAAA